rnacentral:rRNA from 1 species
GUUGUAUAGUCAAGUAAUUAAGUGCAUGUGGUGGAUGCCUUGGCAGUCAGAGGCGAAGAAAGACGUGAUAGCCUGCGAAAAGCUCCGGGGAGGCGGCAAAUAUCCUUUGAUCCGGAGAUGUCUGAAUGGGGAAACCCACCUACCUUAAGGUAGGUAUCGUAUGAUGAAUACAUAGUCAUACGAAGCGAACGAGGGGAAGUGAAACAUCUCAGUACCCGUAGGAAAAGAAAUCAAUUGAGAUUCCCUCAGUAGCGGCGAGCGAAAGGGGAAAAGCCCAUUAAGUUAUGUGUGUUUUAGUGGAAUGCUCUGGGAAGUGCAACCAUAGUGGGUGAUAGUCCUGUACACGAAAGGGCACACAUAAUGAUGACGAGUAGGGCGAGGCACGUGAAACCUUGUCUGAAUAUGGGGGGACCAUCCUCCAAGGCUAAAUACUCCUGACUGACCGAUAGUGAACCAGUACCGUGAGGGAAAGGCGAAAAGAACCCCUGUGAGGGGAGUGAAAUAGAUCCUGAAACCGCAUGCAUACAAGCAGUGGGAGCCAACUUGUUUGGUGACUGCGUACCUUUUGUAUAAUGGGUCAGCGACUUAUAUUCAGUAGCAAGGUUAACCGAAUAGGGGAGCCGUAGAGAAAUCGAGUCUUAAUAGGGCGUAUAGUUGCUGGGUAUAGACCCGAAACCGGGUGAUCUAUCCAUGAGCAGGUUGAAGGUUGGGUAACACUAACUGGAGGACCGAACCCACUGUCGUUGAAAAGCCAGGGGAUGACUUGUGGAUAGGGGUGAAAGGCUAAUCAAACUCGGUGAUAGCUGGUUCUCCCCGAAAGCUAUUUAGGUAGCGCCUCGGACGAAUACCAUUGGGGGUAGAGCACUGUUUCGGCUAGGGGGUCAUCCCGACUUACCAAACCGAUGCAAACUCCGAAUACCAAUGAGUACUAUCCGGGAGACAGACUGCGGGUGCUAACGUCCGUAGUCAAGAGGAAAACAAUCCAGACCGCCAGCUAAGGCCCCAAAAUCAUAGUUAAGUGGGAAACGAUGUGGGAAGGCAUAGACAGCUAGGAGGUUGGCUUAGAAGCAGCCACCCUUUAAAGAAAGCGUAAUAGCUCACUAGUCGAGUCGGCCUGCGCGGAAGAUGUAACGGGGCUAAAACUAUGUGCCGAAGCUGCGGAUGCAUAAUUUAUUAUGCGUGGUAGGGGAGCGUUCUGUAAGCCGAAGAAGGUGGAUUGAGAAGUCUGCUGGAGGUAUCAGAAGUGCGAAUGCUGACGUGAGUAACGACAAAACGGGUGAAAAACCCGUUCGCUGAAAGACCAAGGGUUCCAGUCCAACGUUAAUCGGGGCUGGGUGAGUCGACCCCUAAGGCGAGGCCGAGAGGCGUAGUCGAUGGGAAAUUGGUUAAUAUUCCAAUACUUCAGUGUAAUGCGAUGAGAGGACGGAGAAGGUUAAGUCAGCCUGGCGUUGGUAGUCCAGGUGAAAGGAAGUAGGCAUGCAUCUUAGGCAAAUCCGGGGUGCUCUAUGCUGAGAUCUGAUAUCAAGCUGUACUUGUACAGUGAAGUGGCUGAUACCCUGCUUCCAGGAAAAGUCUCUAAGCUUCAGUUACACUGGAAUCGUACCCGAAACCGACACAGGUGGUCAGGUCGAGUAGACCAAAGCGCUUGAGAGAACUCUGCUGAAGGAACUAGGCAAAAUGGUACCGUAACUUCGGGAGAAGGUACGCUGUUGAUGGUGAUAGGACUCGCUCCUUGAGCUGUCGACAGCCUCAGAAACCAGGCCGCUGCAACUGUUUAUUAAAAACAUAGCACUCUGCAAACACGAAAGUGGACGUAUAGGGUGUGAUGCCUGCCCGGU